rnacentral:rRNA from 1 species
UAGGGAAUCUUCGGCAAUGGACGAAAGUCUGACCGAGCAACGCCGCGUGAGUGAAGAAGGUUUUCGGAUCGUAAAACUCUGUUGUUAGAGAAGAACAAGGACGUUAGUAACUGAACGUCCCCUCACGGUAUCUAACCAGAAAGCCACGGCUAACUACGUUCCAGCAGCCGCGGUAAUACGUAGGUGGCAAGCGUUGUCCGGAUUUAUUGGGCGUAAAGCGAGCGCAGGCGGUUUCUUAAGUCUGAUGUUAAAGCCCCCGGCUCAACCGGGAGGGUCAUUGGAAACUGGGAGACUUGAGUGCAGAAGAGGAGAGGGGAAUUCCAUGUGUAGCGGUGAAAUGCGUAGAUAUAUGGAGGAACACCAGUGGCGAAGGCGGCACUCUGGUCUGAAACUGACGCUGAGGCUCGAAAGCGUGGGGAGCAAACAGG